rnacentral:rRNA from 1 species
AUUGAACGCUGGCGGCAUGCUUUACACAUGCAAGUCGAACGGUAACAGGGUGCUUGCACCGCUGACGAGUGGCGAACGGGUGAGUAAUGCAUCGGAAUGUACCGUGUAAUGGGGGAUAGCUCGGCGAAAGCCGGAUUAAUACCGCAUACGCCCUGAGGGGGAAAGUGGGGGACCGAAAGGCCUCACGUUAUACGAGCAGCCGAUGUCUGAUUAGCUAGUUGGUGAGGUAAAGGCUCACCAAGGCGUCGAUCAGUAGCGGGUCUGAGAGGAUGAUCCGCCACACUGGGACUGAGACACGGCCCAGACUCCUACGGGAGGCAGCAGUAGGGAAUUUUGGACAAUGGGCGCAAGCCUGAUCCAGCCAUGCCGCGUGUCUGAAGAAGGCCUUCGGGUUGUAAAGGACUUUUGUCCGGGAGCAAAUCCUAGUGGUUAAUAACCGCUGGGUCUGAGAGUACCGGAAGAAUAAGCACCGGCUAACUACGUG